rnacentral:rRNA from 1 species
UACGUAGGGUGCAAGCGUUAAUCGGAAUUACUGGGCGUAAAGCGUGCGCAGGCGGUUAUGUAAGACAGAUGUGAAAUGCCCGGGCUUAACCUGGGAACUGCAUUUGUGACUGCAUGGCUAGAGUUUGGCAGAGGGGGGUAGAAUUCCACGUGUAGCGUUGAAAUGCGUAGAUAUGUGGAGGAACACCGAUGGCGAAGGCAGCCCCCUGGGUCAAGACUGACGCU